ensembl:lncRNA
UCAUAAAGAUACAUGGCAAAUCUACUUUUCUCUCUCUUUCCUUUGAAACCAAGUAAAGCCUACAGUAUUGUCCCCAAACUCCUUUGCUGCUUUGAUUCCUUAGGCUACAUUUUAGAAUAUAAAUAUCUUGCAGCACAUGAGAUUAACACGGGAUGUCCUGUAUGUAUAAGCUAUUAGAAAUGAAACAAUAUGAAACACUCUGAAACAACUAUGGCCUCUUGCUCCAGAAAACAACGUAUUAUAACCAUUUUGGCUGCAACUUGACAGUGUAGAAAUUAUCACAGGGUCUUAUAUAAGGAAACUGCUUCUAAGCAACAUUAAGGGAGAUGGGUCACUAACUCCUCAAAUAACAAUGUCUUAAAAUAAUGAAAGUGGAAAAGAAAAAAACUUGAGGCAUCCAAGACCUGCAAGCUUAUCUUGGUAGAUAAACUACUGUUACUAGCUACCUAUUGAGCCAGCUAAUGUUUAAUUUCACUAACCUUGAGUGAAGGCCUGUGUAAGAGGCACAAUCAGACAAUGGGCACAAAGGAAGAGAUAAGGAAAAAUGUGGAAAGAUUAGCAAGGAGAAAGGCUAGUAGGGGAUUUUGUCUGCUACAAAAAGAAUUAUGUUCUUAAUGGAGGGAAUAAGACAUAAAAGAAAGGACAACACACUACAGACAAGGAAUCUGAGCUUUACAAAAUGUAUUAUGCAAAAGACUAAUAUAUUAAUUAAGACUAAGAUUAAUAUAUAUAUAAAUAUAAAUAUACAGACACAUAUAUGCAUUUUGAAGAAAUAUGGAAAGCUUUAUGCCUUGAAUCAUGUUCUAAUCAUACUUUCAGUUUCUGAAAGAUGCAUGCUUUGAUGUUGGCAAUGGAAAAAUACUAUUUGUGUUCUGUUUAUCCAUACUGCAUAAAACUGUGUAAGAUAUAUAUUAUGCUAUAUCCAAGGCUUUGAUAUACAGGAAUAUUUCCUCUUUUAAAUUAUUACCAUUCCUUUUUACUCAUCAGGAGCUUCAUCACAGAUACCUACCUGCCUUGAAGACACUAGAGUUAAUUCAGGAGCUUCAUCACAGCUACCUGCCUCAAAGAGACCAGAUUUAUUCAAAAUGUCCUUAUACUUUAUAUUGGUGUUCCAGGCAAUUCAGAAGUGGGACAUCUGUCUGUGAGCACCUGGCAGUAGUUUGCUGACAAGAGCAAAGAAUAUAAAGAAACAUUGUUCUAGACCCCCUUUAGAAGAGCCAAGUACAGAAGUGGAAAGAGAUUGGUUCAGGCUUCCUUUCUCAGUGGUAAAACACACAGAGUAGGCAGUCACAGCUGCGUUGUUGGCUAGUAAUGAAAGCUUUGGGCUGCUGCAGCAAAUUUUGAUGUAUCAGCCAUCUCUGAAGCAGAUCACUAGCUCAGGCAAUUUCUGGACUCUUUGAAGGAAGUCUAAAGUUAGGAUUUCCUAUUUCUUAAUACCUAAGGCAUUCUCUGGUUAGUGGAAAACAUGAGGAAUUUGGAAUUUACUGGAAUUUUCAGCAUCUGAAUAUGGUCCUAUCUGAUAAAUCCUCAAAGUUCUGAAAGCACACAGAAGUAAGAAUUAGAACAGUGGACUUCUUUUUGUCCGAAUUUCAUCAGCCAUUGCUGUGACCAGAGAGCAAGAGGGACUACAGCACCUGAGGAACCCUUCAUUAUAUUGUGCAUACUCAUAUUUUGUCCUACAUGUAACAACCACAAGGCAUGAUUCUGAUCCUAGUACAUAUGUCUGUGUUUAUAUACUUCUCUAUGUAUGUAUGCAAUAUAUUAUAUACAUUUUAUAUAAUGCUUUUAGUAAUCUUGUAAAGUAUACCACAUAAUUCUACUGCUGACAUGCAUGUAUAUACUAAAAUAGAAAUACGAGAUAAUGUGUGUAAUGACCAAGAACAGUAGCAGUAGUAAUAGUAGUCAUAUUAGAGUAAGUAGUGCUAGGGAAUUUUUUCUAAGACUUAGACUAAAGGAGUAUGUGAAGAAAAGACAACAAUGGAGUCUCCUAAAGGAGUGUACUCUAUGUGGGACAAUCAGGCCAAGCAUCAUGAGUAUAAGAAUUUAAGCACUUACAUUUGUUGGGUUGUUGGAGGAUUUUACAGUCCAAGUGAGUUUCAACUUGGACUGAUUCCUUGAUCUGUUUGAAAAUCUAGCAUAAGUACCUGUGCUGAAAGAGAAGGAAGAGCUGGCAUGGGGCAGGAAUAAGCAGUCUAGGGAGGAACUCCUUCUACCAGCUUUUCUUUGAAAUUCCAGCCCUGGGAGUGCUGUGCAGACAGAUUAUAAGAAAUCAUUUCUGUUGCUACAUACAACCAGAGCCAUAUGUGCAUAUCAGAGCAUUAUAAAUAAUGCAUUCUUUGAAUGUUGUUACCAAAACAAACAGACCAUUGUUAAAACACCAUGCCAGCAUCUAUCUCUUGUUUCCACUAAAAAUAUUCCUUGAACUUUCAACUUGCAACUGUCAGCUUUAUAAAGCAAAAGGCAAAGGUCUCUGACAACUUGUUAAGGAAAAAACUUUAGUGGAAACUUUAGGUUAAAACAUGCUUUAAAACCUCAUCUGUUCAAAUCACCUUUUUCUUGUAUUUCAGGGUGUUUUACUAUUAGCCCACUGGCUAAUAAUAACUUCCUGUGUGUUUAUUGGAAGAUGAAUGUGUUUUAUUUGCCUGUUUAAGUUCCAGAAAUCUGCUCUAUUUCAACCACAUAUGAAGAUAAAAUAUAUUGGUUUGUGGGGUAUGAGCAGGUAUCAGUAAGGGCAUAGUCUGCUGGGAUGAGACAUUCAUUCUUCCCUUAAGGGGAUAUAUCUAGUACAUUCCAAGUUUCUACAGGUGCUUAUGUUGUAAUGAAGACAGAUAUUUCAAUUUCUCUAAGAUUUAACAAGGGGAAAAUAGAAGUAUUAUGGUUAAAGACCCUUUCUGAACUUUGUAUAUUAGUUUUGGGCAAAACAUUUAAGUCUGAGCCGAAGGUUAAAUCAUCAUAAAUGGAUAUGCUCAGGGAGUGAAAAAAAAAAAUAUAAAAGAAAGCUGAUUUAAAUAGAACACUGGUCAUAGAGGACACAUAGAAGAAAGACGGGAAGGUAAGGAGGCUCAUCACCCCUCUUUCCCUUGAAGAACAUGUGAAGCCUUAAGGACAGCAAUUCAAAUUACUACUGAUAGUAUCCACUCUUCCAUAGAGAGGAUCUGGGGGUGACAGAGGAGGAGUUUCCCCCUUUCUCACUGCUACCUCUGCAGGUGUAUAAGGUUUUCUCCUCUGGUGUGCUUGCUAGCUGCAAUUUGAAUAUGGUCAUAUGUUGCUCCCAGGCCCAGAUAAUAUUCCCCAAACCAGUUAUAGCUGCUUUGUUACUGUUUGUUUAUACUGCAGUAUAAAUAGUAGUGUCUCUCUGUUCCAAGUAUUUAUAUAGUCCCUAUCAUUGCUGAGCCCAAGUCCCUCCCAGUCUUAAAUGUGUUUAUCCUCACAACAGCACUGUGAGGGCAAUGCUGUUAGCCCAUCCAGGAGUAGGAAGCCAGGACACAGGACAAUUAAGGUCUGAACAAAAGCAUGCAAGCAUCUGACUUCAUUAAUUCCAGUAGCAUUUAUGAGGAAAGUGUCUGGUGAAACAUGGGAAUAACACUGCAUAACAAGGACACUGUCUGCCUUGAGGGGUAAAUACUGUGGUCCCUUAUUGCUGUUUAGAUGACUUUCAGAGAUGGAAGUGGAAGAACACUAAGGUAAUGUAAAAGAGAAGUCAUUGUGGAGUGAAAAGUUAAUCACUUCUUCCCACAGUCUCAGAAAUACCUUUCUAAAGUUACACCUCCUAGAGGCAACUUUUCCCCUGGUAGGGAUCCUGGUAGGAGAGUUACAUAUGAGUGAUGGAGUUUUCCUGCUGUGCUGUGGGUUUUCUUGCUCAGGACAGUCUGUGGAUCUGAAUUUUUCCUACCUAAUGACUACAGGAUUUGGUCUUUUAAUUGGCUUCUGUGUAUUAAUUGCAUAUGAAAAGCUAAGGUAUUUAUCUUUGUAAAGCAGUUCUGAAUGCUGAAUAACCAACUAUUUUUCACAAGGAGUUUUACUAUACAGCCUGAAAGGGAAUGCAGAUUUAUACGAUAAAUACAACUGCUCCAAAAGAGAUGAGAUUUAUCUUAGCAACUGGCUAAGUCUCUCUAGGAUUCAUCCCCAGCCCCAGUCUAUCAGUCAGUGUAUCUUUCUUCUAAGGUUUCAGUGCAAUAAACCAUACCCUUUCAUAAAUAAUAAAAGUUUUAUUUUUUCAGAGACAUGAGGAAUUCCUUCUUGUGAGCGUUUUUAAUCCCUUAAUAAAUCACAAUAAUAGCAGUAAUAUUAAUAAUUUAUUUUAUAUCCUAAUCAGGAUUAUAUUCAAAUUAUUAGGCACAGCCUUGAGCAUAAAUGAACUAGAGCAGGGGUAGUUUAGGGUUACAAGGCUAAUGCAGUCUCUAGACCCAAAUAAAUAAAUUAAUUAAUAAAAAUCUUACCAAGAAACAGCAGAAUCCUAACAAUUGCAGAGCCAGCAGGACGCUGGAAUCUUUGCGAGUUCACCCUUUAUGGCCCAGGAAAAAUACAUUGUUAAGCAAUUUUGUUGUUCCUACCAGCAGACCUUGAAGUGGAAAUUAACGAGUGGUGGUAUUCUCUCACACCCAAUCCCCUGUACAUUUGCAUUCAUUUGCAUAUGAAUGCCCAGCUAAUUGUUUUGAAGUAACAAUUAAGAGAACAAUAGAGGAAAGAAAAGGGACUCCAGGCAGCAACUGACACCUGGGACUCUGUAUUAAGAAAAGCUUUUGCAUAUUUGAAUUAAAAAUAGACAAAGGAACAGAAACAGGCAGGCAUAAAAUUCAUUACUGUUAGGAAAGCGGCACAUCACAUCCGUGCACGCUACCAUGCUCCAGAAGAUGUUUCACAUUCAUCCAGCCAAGAGAUGUACAAUAUACUAGAUGGUAAAGGAGGUUUUUCCUUCUAGUGUGCAUUUUAGAAAAAAGUUGGUUUCUCACAUUCCCCAUAUGCCUAAGCCAAAGAGUUUGAGUUCAGAAGGAAAGGAUUCUUUUGCCAAUUUGGCAUCAGUUUCAAAGUGGAUUAACCUUUCCCGAGAAGUUCAGAUGUGCAUGGAUUCAGCAGUACCUUUAAACCAUUUGCCUGUGGUUAGAACUGGAUCCAUUGGAAUAUGAUAAAAGAGGUUUCAUUUCUGUACAACACCAUCAGUGCCAUCUGAAAUUAUUACUUAGGCUCCAUUUCCAGUAGGGAUCCAAUUAUCCGAUUGUUGGUGCAAUGUGAUUUGUUAGAUGCAGUCCUCCCUCCUGGUAAUGAUGAUGUAGCUCUUUUUAUCUGGAGCAAUUGCUAUUGUUAACUGCAUCACUGGCAAAUGCUUGGGCUCUGCUUUCCCCUCCUGAAAAGAGAAGCUUGGGGUUGAGAAGUAGCCUAGGAACAGAGCUAGGCACAGUUUCCUUCACUAAUAACCCCUGCUACUAAAGAGGUUUAUUGACUUCAAAUUACUGAUCACUAAAACCACUUUUGUACCCAACAGGAUCAUCUGAGCCCUCCUGUAGAGAAAAAAGCCAGCACACAGCAAAAUGGAAGGAAGUUUGAAGCUACAAGAAAGGUCCACAUCAGCCAAAGAAGUGGGGAGCAGUGGGGCUGUAGAAUGUAAUAAAGCUCUGACUGAAGAAUCUUUGGCAGUGGGUUCUCUUGGGGAGACAGACACGAGCAGAAUCCUUAUAAGAGCUGCAGCCCAGGAACUGCUCACACAGGACACAAUUUUUAACCUAAAGCUCCUUUCAACAAAUUCUCUUUUAUGGAGCAAAGAGAAGGUAAGUUGUAUACUGUGUACAUUUCAAGAAAUAAAAAAAAAAAAAAAAAAAA